rnacentral:tRNA from 1 species
AGCACGUGACUGAAAAUCACGGUGUCGGCAGUUCGACUCUGCCCCUCGGCA